AGUGAACGCUGGCGGCGUGCCUAAUACAUGCAAGUCGAACGAAGUGGCGCGCGGGUGAGUAAUAUAUAGUUAAUCUGCCCUACACAGAGGAACAACAGUUGGAAAAGACUGCUAAUACCUCAUAGUGUAUGAUGAGACUAUAUCGUAUCAGCUAGUUGGUAAGUUAAUGGCGUACCAAGGCUAUGACGCGUAACUGGUCUGAGAGGAUGAUCAGUAAAAUUGGAACGGAGGCACGGGUCAAACUCCUACGGGAGUCAGCAGUAAGGAAGAUUGCGCAAUGGGGGAAACUCUGACGCAGCAACGCCGCGUGGAGGAUGAUACUUUUCGGAGCGUAAACGCCUUUUCUCAGGAAAGCGGUACCUGAUGAAUAAGCACCGGCUAACUCCGUGCCAGCAGCCGCGGUAAUAC
rnacentral:rRNA from 1 species